rnacentral:lncRNA from 1 species
GGGAUAGGAUCAAAGGCACUCUCCAUGUCAAUGAUGACUAACAGGGAAGGUUACUUAAUGUUGGAGAUCAACUCCUCUCUUGGAAUAGGGCCAGCAGAUAAGGCAGGCUCCCUUAAAGAACUUCUCUUAAUGAACACUCUCCUUCUGUGAGCAAGUGUUGAAGGUCUGGCCACUGAAAGCAGCAACUGGAAUUAUUUUUUUUCAGGGCCAAAAGUCUCAUAAAACAACCACUAACUCUACGCUAUCUUUUUGUUGUCAAAGCGUCAACCCCAGCCGGCCUCAUCACCUUUAAACUCCUUACGCUGACUUGGCCUGAGCUGCGCCACUGCCCACGCGCAGCCUGCAGCUUGCUAGUAGGCCUGUAUGCUCAUCACCCUCAGCCCCUACAUUUCUCUACUCUGUGCUGUCCCUUCCUUAGAAGCUGUGAAUGUUUAAGCAACAGGGAGAAAUUUUCUUCAGGAUCUAAGGUAAAGCUUUCAGGCUCUUGUUAAUACCUGCUUCAGACAGGGUCACUCACUAACCUGGAGUUCUUCAUACACAACUGUUAACAGCAGCUAGACUGGACAAGGGGAGCAAAGGGAGGGGCAUCUCUCCUUGGGGAGGAGGCUAAGAGAGAAAGAUAAAACUCCCUGGCAGAAAACAAUUUUUCUCAAGCAAAUUAUUUUUAACUUUUAAGUUAAGCACCAAGAGGACCAAGUAAAACUCCUUGAAAAACAAAGCAAACAGUUUCAUGAUUUUAAACACAGUUGUCAGUUCAAGAUUUUAAACACAGUCGUCUGUCCAAAGUCCAAAAACGAAACAAAAGUCAAAAAGACACUGGACAAUACCACAGAAAACAACCCAGACAAACAAGACCAAGACAAAGAAUCCUAUAACCAAUUUCCACAGAUAUUCAAAGAAAAUUAGGACACAAAGAAGACAAACAAUUUCAACAGUCAAACAAGCAACAGACAGAUGUGCCGUGCGGCUUCGGUGUCAAACUGAAACCAAAAAUUUAGUGGAUCCGGCUCUCUCCUCUCUCCUCCAACCUAAAACCAUGUAUCCUUCCGAUAUGGGCUGAGCCCCCCAAAAAACCGGGCUCCAAACACCCUUGGAACGUCUUCCAGGGCUGCGGGGGAGAAGUACGAGCUCGUCAGCUCCUUCUCUGGCCCGCCCAAAUACAAACGGUCUAGACCCAAGCCAAGUAACUAAGCAUUUACAGAACAAGUCACAAAGCAAGACAAGACAGGACAAGACAAACACUGGCCAGCUUACCUCCCAGUGGGUGGUCGGUGGUCUCUAGGCAGAGGAUCUCUGAUCCCGGACGAGCCCCCAUAAUGUAAGACUGUCAGAGAGAAUCUUCCCUCAGGAGGGAGAUCCUCGAGCCCAAUGACCAGUCCGAGUCCACAGGCUGCAAUCUGCAAGAGGAUUUUUACUGAUCAGGAUACACAGGUAUCUGUGGGCGUCCCAGUCAAUUCUGAAGACUGGCGCGCCUAACAGAACCAGGGACGGACGGGUUUUUAUAGGGUACUGGGGAGCAGAAGCAGGCUUACAGAAGCAGAUGCAUGGUUGGUGGAUUCAAGUGAGGUGCGGAUGUAUGGUUACACCCAAUUGGCUAUUCAAAUGAGGUUGUCACACAGCAAGAGAAUACGUGCAGGUUGGGGCAUCUGGAAUGUCAGGGGCUAGAGGCUUAUCUCUUGUUAGGUGGCCCAUAAAGCAAUAUCAAUAAUUUAGACUGGUUUCUGUAUUUUGUUUUCUUUUAUGGUCUGUUUCGUCUAAAUGAUGGGUCAGCUUGUCCCACAAAGCUUGGACACAUCUGAACCUUCCCAGGCUUAUUUUAGUUCUGAGUCUGUGUAUCUAAAAACUUUCUUUUUACUUCUAUAGUUGAGGGCCUUGGGCUUGUACAAUUCCCUUUCUGGGAGGGGGUCUUUCACUAUGAACUCACCUUUGGAAUUGAUAAUAAUUUACUUCUCUUUCUUUAUGUUUUUUUUUUUAUUUUACAACUAAAUGUCAAACUUACUUUGAAAACUAAAUUAGACUUAAACGAUUUUUUUUGAGACACAUCUCAUUAAAUACUGUAUACUCAGGUUGCCCUUCAUCUUGCAAACUUCCACCUUCCUCCUCUCAAGUGUUGGGAUUAGAGGUGUGUACCACCAUUGUUGGUUAUAUUACAAUUGGGUGCUCUAUUAUUUUUUUUACCUAAUUAAUAUUUCUACACUAGUAUCAUCUAGAACACCAAAUGUCUUUAAAAUGUUAUAUACUACAAGUGACCUGAUGUUAGCCAAAGGCAUGAUGUCACUGGGGGUUUCCUCUCACAGGACAAUGUUCCCACGGGUUUGGGCCAUGGAGACUUCCGUUGAGUGUCCAGUGUCUCUGUCAACUGUGAAACAACUUCCUGCCACUGUCUCUCUGCAUGGCCCCUGAGGGCUGCAAAUUCUGAUGUUCUUGGAAGCAGAUAUCUUUUCCCUUAAGGAUACAAGUUUUAAAUAUGGAGACAUUAUUACAGAGAGCACCAAAAUGGCUGCUUUUAUACACUCUAGCCAGAGCGGUUUAUUUAUUCUUUGGUCUUGAUGAAAAUAUUGAUUAUUUAUUUAUAUGUGUAGUCUAUGUGGGUGUCUAUGCACAGAGACACAAUUACCUGUGAAAACCAGAAGAAGGUGUUGACGCCCUACAGCUGGAACACCCAUGGGUGCUGAGAGCCAAACUCCCAUCCUUUCAAAGAAUAGAAAUUGAUUUUAAGCACCAACCACGUUUCUUUAGCCCUCAGCUUUGUUUUCUGAGACAAGGUUUCUCAUAGCCUAGACUGGCCGCAAAAUCACUGUGUAGCUGAGGCUGGUCUUAAACUUCUAAUCUUUCUGCCUCUACCUUCAAGUACGUGAUUCUAGCUGCAUGCCACCAUGUCUCGCUCCGGCAGGCCAAUUUAAAUCCUGAGCCUAUAGGUGGGCUUUGAGGGCAGUGACUCCUAAAACUGUGUGCGCCCUACAUGCGCAGGUGGGUUUUCCCAGGAUGCUUUGUUUCUGGUAGCUUCUCCCUGGGGUCCAUGACCAUGGCCUGGGAUGGCUCUCUGCUACUGUUGGUUGGGUGAGCUCCUCUUCUAACUGACACCACACAGGGGUGGGAAAACCCUUCCCUUCCCACAGUCUAGCACUGUUAUCGACAGUGGACAGGGAGGGUGGGAGGGCAAGGUCAGUACACACUUUCCUGUCCCACAAUGGCCUAGCCCUGCUUCUGCCCCCUCAGAACUUUCCAGUGUCCUUCAGUGCAUGCAGGGUAGAAUGUGGGACCCUUGUUGGGGAUGGCUUCUGUGACUCCAUGGCACAGGCUGGUAUGGACGCCUAAUGUGUACACUGUAGGCUUCCAGCCCAGUGAUGCCCUUACUUUCCAGGCAACUGAAAUGCCUGUUGUCUGCUUCCAGCACGGAGCAGGUCUGAGCAGCUGGACUGGGUGAAUACAUUUUCUCCCCUUCUAACAUGUCUUGCCUUGUCUCAUUGACAGAACUCUUAUACCCGUGAGCUAUGACAAAAAGAGGUGUCAGAGACAAUUCCACUCAGAGAACUGCACCUAUAGUGUGGUGGAACGGACGAACCCAGGAAAGACCUGUCCAGUCAAUGGCUGGACAAUAUAAAUGUGCUUCUUGGGGGCCCAAAAGUGGACCAAUAUUUGAACAUUGUAUGAAUUAAAGUUACCAAUCAUAACCUCGCAAGGAGGUGACCUACAAUCCCAAGACUCAGAAGGCAGAGCCAGGAUGUCUUGAAAAACUCGAGUAAAUAAAUACAUGAAUAAAUCUUUGCCAAUCCUAUUUGUAUUAACUUAAUGCAUGUUAUACAACCAAGAAAAUCAAGCCAACAAUAACAGUGGCAGUUCCAGCAUCUUCCCUGUGCUCCAAUGGGUUUCAUGCACGGGUGA